AAACGCUAUUGAAAACGUAAUUAAAAAACAACAAAAAAAAGCUAAAACUAAGAACCGCUAAAUCAUUUUAUUUCCCACAUUUCUUUACUCUGCGAAAACCAAAACCUCAAACCUAAGACUCUCCAUGGACGGCGAAACCUACCAUAAUCCUCUACGCGGCGACGAUUUACGGUGGUGGAGAUUUAGGUGGCAGCGUUUUCUUUUCCCGGUGGUGCUUUUCCGACGGAAUUUCGAAUUUCAAGGUAAUCUCCCUUUCUUUUGCGAAAUUCUGUAAAUUUAUGGUGGGUUGUUCUUAUUUUGCGUUUGAAGUGUGGGAUUAUUGUUAAUUUAUUUUAUUGAAUUGGUUUUGUGGGGAGGGGGUUUGGAUUCAGUUAGGGUUGGUUAAUCAUGGGUUUUGUGUAUUAUUCCUCUGAAUUGGUAGAUGUAACUCAUGUAAGUAGCCAUAUUUAGUUUCGAUUUGGGUUCUGAUUCUUUAUUUUGAUAAUGGGUUGAUUCAUUUUUUGAUUUCAUGAUUGCACUGGAGUACUACGUUUUUGCUGAUUUUGUAGUCGUUUUAAUUGGCAAAUCCGGAAUUCUUAUCAAAAUUAUUAUUUUCUAAUCAAGAUUGUUAAGUUGACAAAGUCUUGGUAAGAUGAUUGCGAAACUUCAACUCCGUACUUAAGAGAUGCCUAUAUGUCAACCGAAAAGGAUUGAGAGGCAAUGAGAGCAUGUGUUGUUGUUGCCAUAAACAAGGCAAAUAGUGAAACAAAUGGGUACUCAUUUAAUUUUUUUUGGUGCAAAUGAGGGGUAUGACCCCGACAAAAACUAAAUUAAGCAACAAAACGUGGUGUAGUAACACCAAUGACAUCCUCGCGAAGGAGGCUAACAAUGUCCCCUAUUGGGCUAUGAUAAAAUAAAAGACGUUCUUCUUGGCUAACACCAAUAUUAGCUAAUUUAUCAGCCACUCUAUUUCCUUCCCUAUAACAGUGGAUUACCCGAACUUCCCACAAAAUCGAACUGAUUAUUUCUCUUCAAUGAUUGAUGAUAUGGUAGCACUCCCCGCCUUGAUACUCACUUCUUUUAAGAACAUGUACACACGCUUCAUUAUCAACUUGAAUCACUAGCUUCUUACAUCCCAUCUCCAUAGCCAUAUCAAUACCAAUGGAUAAUGCCAUAAAUUCUGCUUUGAAGGCUGAGCAAAUUCCGAAGUUUGCUAUAAAGGCUAGGUGGAACGUACCAUUGGUAUCCCUUAUAACACCACCUCCACCAGCAGGCCCUGGAGUUCCUUUUGAUGCUCCGUCUGUGUUCAAAGCAACCCAAUCCUCUGCUGGGGCGUUCCAUUAAUAAAUAUCUCCCUUCUUAUUCUCCCUUCUCAUUUAAUAGUUGAUAGUUGAUGCAUUAAUUAUUUAAUUUGGACAAUUAGAAGUAAUUAAGUUGUCAUCAAAGUAAAACAAGUUGCCGAACAGAAAACAUCGAACAAUCCCACGUGCUUUUUUUCACUUUCAGCAAUAAGGACCAUUUUUUUUAAUUUACCUAGUCGAGCAUACUGCAGUGAGCAGCAGCAUACUGCAGUCAGCAGCAGCAUACUGCACUUAGCAGCAACAUACUACAGUCAGCAGCAGCAACAUACUGCAAUCAGCAGCAGUAUACAAUCAGCUGACUCGUUCUACCUUUUCUGGUUCUUAUACUCUCUAAUUCAGUUUAAGUGCUUUCAUUUGAACAACUAACGUGAUAAAGUUUCAUUUAUAGGAGAUAGUUUGAACAACUAACGUUACAAAGUUUUAUUUAAGAAAAAAGCAUGUUUAGUUAGCUUAAGCGCCUAAUUCUGGGAUAGUGAAACCCUUAAGCUAUAAACAUGGUUUUUGGAAUUUUGGAAUAAUGGGAUUGUAUUUCCAGAACUAUAAUAAUGGAAGAAAAUGUAAUAGCUCUCAACUAGAAAUUCAAUUGGUGAGGUCGUGGCCGAGACAACAGUUUUGAUAAUUGGAGUGUUGUUAGCUAAGGCUUUUAGAGCUCCAAGGAUUGUGGUGGCUGAUGUAGAUGAAAAUCGUCUCUCAGUUGCCAAGCAAAGAGUCUUGGUGCUUAUGCUGUUAUCCAAGUUUCCACCAAUAAGGAGGAUGCUGCUUGAUCUUUUGGUUAUGGAAUGAAAGAGAUUUUUGCGUAGAUGGUGGAGUGCUUCCUUUCCUGAUUAUUCUUGAUGAUGGGUAUUGGAAUACAUCAGCUUAAGAGAUGUAAGUUCGACAAAUGUGACUUGUGCCAACCGAGUUGCGAAAAACUAAACCAGGCAAGUUGACUUGUGAAAAAAAUAUGUGUGUUUGCUAGACUAUUUAAUAUCAUCAACAUGCUUAUAAUUUGGUAUACGACAGGGGAGAACCAGAAACCUUUGCCAAAGGACAAUAGGGAGAAGACUAUAGAAUGGUUAGACAAAUUAAGACAUUUUCUCUUCCAACUUCUAAAGGUCUUCUAGAAGUCAAUCUGUCAAUGCGAGAGCCGAGAGGACUGUUCUGUAUAUUAAAUCAUAUUUUCACAUAUUUGCACAUAGCUCUGUCACCUAGACUGUCCCCAAGUUUCAUAAACAAAUCAAAUGUUACUUUUUCAUUAAAUAAACGGAUAUUUCAUGAAAUGCCCCCGAGUUUUGCCAUAAUUCACCAAACGCCCAUCAAGUUUCAAUAAUUCAUAAAAUACCCCUCACAAUUCGUACAAAUACCCAACAUACCCUUACUAAUAACGGACUGUUAGUCUGCCGUUAGCCAAGUUUCCAAUUCACCCAAAUGCCCCUAUUCUGAAACUUAUUUCACCAAAUGCCCCUAUUGUGAAACUUAUUUCCACCAAAUGCCCCAAACUUAAAUAUAGCUAUUUUGAUGUUUCAGCGACUAGUUUUUGUGUUUGAAAGGUAGCUGUUGGUCACGGUUGACUAUAAAAGCCCCUUUGCUGAAUGGUUCUUGUAAGUUAGAUGUUAUUUUGAUUUGCAUUGCUAAUUUCAUAAGAUUUUUGUCAUGAGUUUUCUUUCAAAAUCAUCAUCCACACCCAAUGAGUCCACAUAUAUUAGAGUACCUACCAAAUUUUGUUAUUGUGGUAAGAAAUUUGUCAUUCGAAGCUCUGAUAUAACACUCAAUCCACAAAGGUUGUACUACAAGUGUGAUCCUUGAAACAAUCUGAGAUGGUACAAGGGAGUAGUUGAGCAAGAAAACAAGGGGCAACAACACGAAGGACAAUGCGGGGGAAGCUUAGACGAAGGAGAAAGUAUUGAAAACAGGCGAAACAGUAAGAUGCAAGAAGAAUUGAAGCAAAUGAAGAAGAAGCUAAAACAACAACAAAAAGUAGUCAAAGUUGUAAUACAAAUGGGGAUAUUGAUGUUUGUAAUUUUACUGUUUGUAAUCAUGAAGUAAACACAAAUAAUGAGAAACAAAUUCACAUUUCAUAAAUAAUUGGUGUUGCAUAAUCUGCACAAAUUACCAAACUGGGAAACAUUCCUGUUUUUAGCUUCACUUACAAAACAUCUUUGCACCAACUACUUUUAAUGUUAUAUAUUUUCUACUCAAUGAAUAUGUGCAAGAUCAAAACAGAUGUGCAAAAAACUACCCCAAAAGGCAUUAGCAGCUAUCCAGAAGAGCUUGUGGAACACCACUUCAACCUCUAUUCCUACCACAAUAACAAAAUUUGUUAGGUACCCUAAUAUAUGUGGACUCAUUGGGUGUGGAAGAUGAUUUUGAAAGAAAACUCAUGACACAAAUCUUAUGAAAUUAGCAAAGUAAAGUAAAAUAACAUCUAAAAUACAAGAACCAUUCAGCAAAGGGGUUUUUUUAGCCAACCAUGACCAAGAAUCACUUUUCAAACACAAAAACUAGCCGUCGGAACAUCAUAAUAGCUAUAUUUAAAUUUGGGGCAUUUGGUGAAAUAAGUUUCAUAAUAGGGGCAUUUGGUGAAAUAAGUUUUAGAAUAGGGGCAUUUGGGUGAAUUGGAAACUUGGCUAACGGCGGACUAACGGCCCGUUAUUAGUAAGGGUAUGUUUGGUAUUUGUACGAAUUGUGAGGGGUAUUUUAUGAAUUAUUGAAACUUGAUGGGCGUUUGGUGAAUUAUGGCAAAACUCGAGGGCAUUUCAUGAAAUUUCCGUUAAAUAAAUUAAAAAAAUUCAUUGAACCAUGUGCAUAUGUCAAUUUCAUUUCUUUUCUUAAUAAGUUAUUCGCUAAGUUUAGACAAGGAUGGCUGAUCAAAUUACCAUUCACUGUAUCUUUCUCCUUCUUACUAAGUUUCCAACAUAUUUUUUUGGUCAGUUUAGAGUUUUAGACAUGGUCAAGCUGACUCCUGAAUCACUUGACCAUUCCUACCAGAAAAAAGGAAGGCUGCAAACACUGAUCAACACUGAUCAACACCUGAAACCCCUGCAAGAAGAUCCAGAUCACUGUCAGCUAGAAAUUUUCUGACAAAAGUAGCAGCCACCUACAGUUAUUACUUAGUUCUUAUCAUUAUUAUAAGAUUUUGAAGGUUUUUUUUAUGGGAGAACAAGCAAUCCUCGUUCUUAUACUCAUUCUGACUUCGAGGAUAGCUAGCUCUCGUUCUCGUACCCCAGGUCGUGUGGACUCUUGACUAAGGAGAAUGUUGAAGAUUUGAGGUUGGAUCACAUUGGGGACACAACUACAAAACAUAAUAUUUCUAUUCUUCUCAAGGUAAAUAGAUUGAAAUUAAUAUUUCUUAUUUUCAAAAACAACCUGCCACAUGCUUGUGAUUAGGACGAGUUUGUUUUCAAGAACGUAUUGGGCAAAAUGAAAACUACUAUUAUAUUAGCCAGAUACAAGGGAAUUUCAAGGGAUUUCUUGUGUUAGGUCCCUUACUUUAUUAGACUGUGGGUCCCUUCUGUUUAAUACCCUUGAUGUCAAUGUUGUGCCAAUUUUUCAUAAUUUAGCUUAUCUUAGCUUGCUUGUAACCGAAAUAGGCGCAUGGAUUGGAACUUCCUGGUACCUAGUUUCUUGUUGGCUGCACUCAAGAAGAUGAAAUUAUCAAAUAUGUCUGGCACUGACUUUAACCUUAAUGUGGCAUUGCUAAAAAAACAUUCUAAGUGAUGCAACUGUUCUGGAAGAGCGUUGCGUUUCUUUCCAUGACGAUGAAUCUGACCAGGAACUAAACUCACUAAGCACCGAAUACAUGUUCUGUAAGAUUGAUUCCAUGUAAGCACUGAUUACAUGUUCUGUAAGAUCAGGAACUAAACUCACUAUGCAUUGAAUCUGAUCAGGAACUAAUCUCACAAGCACUGAAUCUGAUCAGGAACUAAACUCACUAAGCACUGAAUAAUUGUUAUGUAAGCACUGAAUGCAUUUUAUGUACGGACUAAACUCACUAAGCACUGAGUACAUGUUCUGUAAGCUAAAAAUGUUCAAAGUGAUGCUUCCAACAAGUUCAUUGAGUUGUCAGAUUGAGUUUUUUGGUAAUAUGAUUUGUGAUUCAAGUAA